GACAGAGGGGGCAAGCGUUGUUCGGAAUUACUGGGCGUAAAGGGCGCGUAGGCGGCCUUCUAAGUCGAACGUGAAAUCCCCGGGCUCAACCCGGGAACUGCGUCCGAUACUGGGAGGCUUGAAUCCGGGAGAGGGAUGUGGAAUUCCAGGUGUAGCGGUGAAAUGCGUAGAUAUCUGGAGGAAUACCGGUGGCGAAGGCGGCAUCCUGGACCGACAUUGACGCUGAUGAGCGAAAGCUAGGGGAGCAAACGGG
rnacentral:rRNA from 1 species